ensembl:lncRNA
CAGGUUUGAGUGAGCAAAUGAUGACCAUUUUAUUUAAUUUAUUUAUUUUUAUUCUAAUAAUUAAUUAUUUAUUUAUUAUUAUUUAUUUAUGUUUUAUUAUUAUUAUUAUUAUUUAUUUUGAGUUAACGUCCCUUUAAAAAAUAAGAUACAUGGAAAAUCAUUUUUCUGUCAUUUAUAAUCAGGCACGGAACACAGAAUGGUCUGUUGUGAACCUAGUAUACUUAAGAUGAAUAAGUGAACAUUUUUCUUUAACAUGUCCUUCCAUCUCUUUUCUCAGGCCUGCUUUCCCAGGGAAAGAUGAUGAAUUAAACACAGAAGAAUAAAAGAGCUACAGCUCGAAAAUCUCAACACAAACUGUUCCUACUGCGCUGUUACACGGCCUACUGUUCUACCACCUCAGAGACACAGCAAGAGAGAAAGAGGGCAAGAGAGGAGAGGAGGAAAGAGAUCCCGACAAGGACAUGCCGAUUCAGAUUCCACCCAAGAGAACAACGCUGAAAGAAAGAAUAGCGAACGAGAGAUUGGAUGACAGAGUUCCAGCAGAGAAAAUAAAUGAAGAAUUUAGGUAGAUUCAGGUGGAAGAUUAAGGAGGAAGAUAGUGUAAUGAGAUGGGGUGUAUCAGGAAGCUACAAACUUCAUUCCACAGAGUCAAGGAAACACAAACCAUUAGACAACACUGUCUUUCAGAAACCAGACAAUACCCUUUUCAUCAACGAACAACGUGUGUGUGCUGUGCGUGUGCACAUAUUUGCUGACAGUCACGCACGCCUCUGCAGAGUGCUGUAGUUUUGUCUCUCAUUUCUUUAACAAGCUGGAAAACACUUCAAGAGGAAUCAGACUCCAACACAUGCAAACCAGCUGCAACAGGUCAACACAAAUGAUCAGCAACAGGAUUUGAGCAUGUUGGAUCCUUUACCGAACAGAAUAAAGAUUUUCUGUUUAAAAAAUUAAGCCAUUCCAUUGAGUUGGAAAUUGGAUAAAUAUUUGCGCAAUUAAAUGCAAUUUGGCCAAGUAAGUGUAACUGAUAUGUGUGUAAUUAUCGUAAUCUGAGAAUGUUCCGAUAAUUAUGCAAUUCAUUUGAUGCCAGUUUUGGAAUAGGCAGAGAAUAUUCUGAACACUGCUCUUGCACCUCUAAUGAAAAUUAAUGCUGCUUUAUUCUCACGACUCACCACCAAUACUUGCCUCCAUGAGGUUUUAUUAAAUAAAUCAGUAGACAUGACAUUAAGAAGCAAUGCCCUCUAGUGUCUUGGAAAGGAACUUUCCUUAAAUUAAUAAAAAUGACAAUACAAAAAUUUUAAUUCUAUACUAUUUGCUCAGGUCUUCCCGAACUGUGAGCACAAAACAGUGUAAUUUUGAAAAAUUGUUGUCCUUUUUCACAAUCAGUUAUAUUGACUGGAGAAGCUUUGAGUUUGUCUUUUCUAGUGAGCUGCUAAAGUCAGCAUAGAUUGAAAAUUCACUAUUAUCUGUUUUCUAAAUGCAU